GGAGCCCGACGGGGCUUCCACAACGUCUCGUGACAGGGCCAACGUGGGGGCAUAUUUGGGAGGUCAAAAUACAAGCUCGGGUCAACAUUUAUGGGGCUUUGGAGCCUUGACCAGCUGAACAGAAACUGCACAACAAAAACAGGUUACUAGACAAGGGCCUUUCCACUAGUUCAUGGAUUGCAUGCCCAAAUGUAGAAAUGUUGACUAGCAUUUAUUGUAUCCCUUGACUAAGGGGCAUUAUAUAUAUCUUGUAAGG
rnacentral:lncRNA from 1 species